rnacentral:other from 1 species
AAAUCCCUGCUGUGUUCGUGAGAAUAGCCGAAUGUUUUUGCCAACACCAAAAACUAGGGAACCCGGACUCCGUGUGUGGACUGUAUACCUGUUUAGCCAGGAAACAAAAGAUACAUGGGAGGGCACCCACCUGCUGAGUCAGGUUUAAACUACGGCACCACGGCUCGGUGGGGUUUUU